AGCGAACGCUGGCGGCAGGCCUAACACAUGCAAGUCGAACGAACCUUUCGGGGUUAGUGGCGGACGGGUGAGUAACACGUGGGAACGUGCCUUUAGGUUCGGAAUAACUCAGGGAAACUUGUGCUAAUACCGAAUGUGCCCUUCGGGGAAAGAUUUAUCGCCUUUAGAGCGGCCCGCGUCUGAUUAGCUAGUUGGUUGAGGUAAUGGCUCACCAAGGCGACGAUCAGUAGCUGGUCUGAGAGGAUGAUCAGCCACAUUGGGACUGAGACACGGCCCAAACUCCUGCGGGAGGCAGCAGUGGGGAAUCUUGCGCAAUGGGCGAAAGCCUGACGCAGCCAUGCCGCGUGAAUGAUGAAGGUCUUAGGAUUGUAAAAUUCUUUCACCGGGGACGAUAAUGACGGUACCCGGAGAAGAAGCCCCGGCUAACUUCGU
rnacentral:rRNA from 1 species